AAAUUGAAGAGUUUGAUCAUGGCUCAGAUUGAACGCUGGCGGCAGGCCUAACACAUGCAAGUCGAACGGUAACAGGAAACAGCUUGCUGUUUCGCUGACGAGUGGCGGACGGGUGAGUAAUGUCUGGGAAACUGCCUGAUGGAGGGGGAUAACUACUGGAAACGGUAGCUAAUACCGCAUAACGUCGCAAGACCAAAGAGGGGGACCCUCGGGCCUCUUGCCAUCGGAUGUGCCCAGAUGGGAUUAGCUUGUUGGUGGGGUAAC
rnacentral:rRNA from 1 species